rnacentral:rRNA from 1 species
CCUACGGGAGGCAGCAGUGGGGAAUAUUGCACAAUGAGGGAAACCCUGAUGCCGCAACGCCGCGUGAGUGAAGAAGUCAUUCGUGAUGUAAAGCUCUAUCAGCAGGGAAGACAAUGACGGUACCUGACUAAGAAGCUCCGGCUAACUCCGUUCAAGCAGCCGCGGGAAUACGUAGUGGCCAAGCGGUAUCCGGAUUUACUGGGUGCAAAGGUAGCGUAGACGGGGACGCAAGUCGUAAGUGAAAUGCCAGUGGUCAACACUGAAACUGUUUGGGAAACUGUGUAGCUAUAGUGCAGUAGAGGUAAGGGGAAGUCCUAGUGAAGCGGUGAAAUGCGUAGAUAUUAGGAGGAACACCAGCGGCGAAGGCGGAUUACUGGAUUGUAACUGACGUUGAGGCUCGAAGGCGUGGGGAGCAAACAGGAUUAGAUACCCCAGUAGUC